rnacentral:rRNA from 1 species
CGAACGGUAACAGGAAGCAGCUUGCUGUUUCGCUGACGAGUGGCGGACGGGUGAGUAAUGUCUGGGAAACUGCCUGAUGGAGGGGGAUAACUACUGGAAACGGUAGCUAAUACCGCAUAACGUCGCAAGACCAAAGAGGGGGACCUUCGGGCCUCUUGCCAUCGGAUGUGCCCAGAUGGGAUUAGCUAGUAGGUGGGGUAACGGCUCACCUAGGCGACGAUCCCUAGCUGGUCUGAGAGGAUGACCAGCCACACUGGAACUGAGACACGGUCCAGACUCCUACGGGAGGCAGCAGUGGGGAAUAUUGCACAAUGGGCGCAAGCCUGAUGCAGCCAUGCCGCGUGUAUGAAGAAGGCCUUCGGGUUGUAAAGUACUUUCAGCGGGGAGGAA